rnacentral:lncRNA from 1 species
CCAACCGGUUACAUCCACCUUUUUAACCCCCAAACAUAAUCGUCUUCUGUUAACAUCGAUCCAAAGUCUUUCCCUCCUCUGUCUUCUAUUCUCUCCCCCGUCUUCUACCCUAAGUAUCUGUAAAAUGUCGACUUCGUCUGCCAAAUCAAGCUUCCAAGGUGGUCCAACAUUGAGAAAGAAAAGAAUAGUUAGAUGUGGCUGUGGAGAUGUGUGCAAGGUAUUUGUUGCUCGAACACCUGAGAACUAUGGAAAGAAGUUUUACGGGUGCCCUAAUUACAAGGUAAACAAUUUGCCCUAAUUUGUAAAUUUCUUGAGAAACCUUGAAAUGGUACAAUGAAGAAACCUUAAAACAAUUUGCCCUAAUUUGUAAAUUUGCCUUAAUUUGUAUGUAAUUCAUACAAAUUAUUGUUUUUUCUAGGUGGAAGAAGACGACUGUGGUUUUUUCAAAUGGUACAAUGAAGAAGAUGGCCACAUUAUCGACCCAACUCACACAAAGCAG